rnacentral:tRNA from 1 species
UGCCCCGUCGUCUAAUGGCAAGACUACGGAUUCUGAUUCCGUCUAUCGAGGUUCGAAUCCUCGCGGGGCAUCCA